CGUGCUGGGUUUAGAAACUGUAUCGCAUGAAAAGAAAAUACAGCUGAAUGAGGAUUUUACAAGAAUGGCGAGGGACUCUUUUGUUUUGUAGAAGCAGUUUAUGGGACGGACAGACGUGUGAAGGCCAGCGACGUGGAAGACCUCAUCACAGAGACGCUGAGAUUCACGCCUCACAGGAGGAAAGGAGCGACAGGUGAAUCACGCUCAUGUUCAUUCAAAUCUAAGUGAACGUACCUUUUUACUUGUGCAUGUGCUUUCUCCAAACUGUCAUUUUAACUCAACCCUUUUCUUUUCUAGGCAACUUCAUGGAACUGACAGUGAAGCUGGGCAAUCAUUCCUCUGAAGUGAGCUUUUGAAUUCUUAUAAACACUCUGGGUUUCAAGUUCAGUAUCAGUUUUGGAUGCAUUUAUAAUAAACCUCAUGUGACCUCUCCA